rnacentral:rRNA from 1 species
GAUGAACGCUGACAGAAUGCUUAACACAUGCAAGUCAACUUGAACUUCGGUUUGGGUGGCGGACGGGUGAGUAACGCGUAAAGAACUUGCCUCACAGAUAGGGACAACAUUUGGAAACGAAUGCUAAUACCUGAUAUUAUGAUUAUAUGGCAUCGUAUAAUUAUGAAAGCUAUAUGCGCUGUGAGAGAGCUUUGCGUCCCAUUAGCUAGUUGGAGAGGUAACGGCUCACCAAGGUGAUGAUGGGUAGCCGGCCUGAGAGGGUGAUCGGCCACAAGGGGACUGAGACACGGCCCUUACUCCUACGGGAGGCAGCAGUGGGGAAUAUUGGACAAUGGACCAAGAGUCUGAUCCAGCAAUUCUGUGUGCACGAUGAAGUUUUUCGGAAUGUAAAGUGCUUUCAGUUGGGAAGAAAAAAAUGACGGUACCAACAGAAGAAGUGACGGCUAAAUACGUG